AUAAAGUGGCGCCAUAGGGGUUAACAUGGCGCUGUUAGGUCCAAGGAAAAUGGAGUAUAGAACAGGUUGUUUGGCCAGCUUAGCCAAAGUUCGGCUAACUGUAGUUGCUGGGCCAUUCCUGUCUCUCUGUGAAACAUGAGGACAUGCUUGCUUGGGCUUCAAAGAAUGAGAUAAAGGGGGGGACCGUAUUCUUGUACCAAAUGUACUAGGAACGGUUUGUUUGGACAUAUGGAGACUUGCAGUCUCCACUCCCUGUUUCUGUUCUUAACUCCCUCCUUUCUCCUAGUUUCUGGUGCAUGACAACAAAGCUCAUAAGAAGUUGCUGAGGCAUCAUGAAUUGUUUGUAGUGUCAAAGAAGAUAGAUAUGCAUGAAUAUUAGAAGCUUUCUAACUAAUAAAGGGGGAUUGGAUUGCUUUAACUAUGACGCGACGGAACUGUCUAUAUAAUCUCACUAGUUAUUGUAAUCGUGGCUGGUUCUCUCUGGAGACGGGCCGCUCUCUAUUGUUGUGUGCACUCUUCAAUAAAGAGCUUGUAUUGGACCUUGCUGGUGUUGCCUGUCUCUCACUCUGCGGUCAGACAACGAACCUUGCCGUCUGGGUUAAAAAGUCCCCGACAAAUUUGGCGACUCCGCCGGGACUUGUCUGACUUUCCGGUGCGGGAUCAGACUCCGAAGCAACGCAGCGCGCAUCCUCUGGCUUCGAGGAGCCUUGCCCGGUAACCUGAUCCCUGCAUCGGCGAUAAGGCGAGUUCUGUGAACCAGCUGAAGCCCGUAGAAACCCAGCAAUGUCCACCUACCCGUUGAGUAGGAUCCAGGUCUUCGGGGUUCGAGUCCCUGGGGAGGUCAGGUCUUUGGGGUUCGAGUCCCUGAAUAAGGUAAGCGAUCGCCAUAAAGGGGUUAAAGUCCCUGGGAAAGGGGUUAGAGUCCCCGAGAAAGGGGUUAGAGUCCCCGGGAAAGGGGUUAGAGUCCCCAGAGAGGGGUUAAAGUCCCCGCAGAGGGGUUAGAGUCCCCAGUGAGGGGUUAGAGUCCCCGGAGUAGGGUUAGAGUCCCUACAGGCUAAAUGGGACAGUUUGGCAGCAAGUGCCCGGGGGACGCCCCGUUGUCUCUGGUACUUAGAAAUUGGAAGGAAAUCUCUGGAACAACCGGUUUGACUAAAUCUAAAUGAGAAACUUAUGCCAAAUUCAAUGGCCUUCCUUUACUACCCAUUUGUCCCCGACUAAAGACUGGCCAAGGUGCAGAACCUUUUUUGUUGACAGGGUGGAUUCCCUCAGGAAUAUCCUGGUUGAUCUUAGACCGGGACAAAUGGAUUAUUUAUUUGUAUGGUAUAACUAUAAACCAAAAGAAAAACUGCUUUCGGCCCCAGCUGGCUGUGAAAAAAUAUAGACAGAGGCAAACCAAAGGCAGUACAAGUUACAGUGCUGAGAUUACAUUUGCAAAGCUUAACUAUCAAGUGAGAUCCAACAGUCUGCCUUUGAGACCCUGGAGCUGGCGUGGUUUGGGGACGCUGAAGAAGCCACAGGCAGCCGGCCUGGACUGGAAUCUCUGAAAGAGACUCUGCAGGAGAACCCAGGGUGUAAAAGAACAGCCCUCCCAAGAGUGAGAAGUUAACUCUAUAGUUGCUAGAGGGAAUUAAGCAGUGAAACUUGAUCAUCAGAGAAAACGGAUGCCAGCUGAACAGCAUUCAAUGUACCAUGCAUUUACUGGUACAAUAGGAAUUAUUUUUGUGUUCUAUGUCCUGUCUUGUGGUGUUUGUCUUGUGGCCAGAAUUGUUGUGUUUAAUAUUUUCAUAAGACAGUCUAGUUCAAAAUUAAAUAAAAGAGUUAAAUAAAAAAGCAGAUACUUGUUUUAUUCAACUUAGAAUACAAAGUGUUUAAAUAAAUCAGGAAAAAUGUGAUAUACUAAAGUCUAAUACAUUUGCUUAAGUAAAAAAAAAAGGCUUCAUUGGUCAAAUCUUUUAAUUAAAAAAAAUUUUGUUAAAAUUUGCAUACCAACAGUCUUUGGAAGCAAGGACAUGGAAGGUUAACCCAUUCCCCAUAUUGCCCAUGGAAUCCUUCUGGCUACCUCAGAUUUCUAGCCAGAGGGCUGGGGAGGGAGGAAAGCUAUUGGACACCAGAGGUUGUACCGAGUGGACUCCUCAAAGGUGGGUGUGCUGGUCCUGGGUUGUUGCUCCAAAGCUCUGUAUAGAAGUUAUUUUACUGGAAGGGUGUACAUGGCAUACAUUGAAUAAUAAGACUAAUGUACUGUAUAAUGGCAAUGUGUAUGUGUUCAUUGUUGGGAAAAGGUGUAUGAGUGAAGAGUGGAAGUUUCCUUUGUAGGUUAAAAGAAGCCAAGAAAGGAAAAAAAAAAAAGGAACAGAACGAGUUAACUGGAAAAAAAAAUAGCUAGGAAGCUCAGUCCAAAGAUAAGAUGCUGGCCCAUCCAAGGGCACUGCCCACAGCUAAGACUUGGCUGACAGCCAAGAAAAGGGGGGCCUGAAUGUGCCCAAGCAGCUGUAAAAUCUGCAAACCACUGCCAGGCAUUAAUGAAAUGUGUUAGGUUUUUUCCACAGGUAAAGAAGCACUACCUAAAGACGGUAGCAGUCCUGCCAUUCAUUGAAACCAGGAGACUGAGUCUACGUAAAGUCCAUUAACGAAAGACUGCUUUGACUCCAUGCUGGAAAGGCCCUUUCCAAGUCCUGUUAACCACCAACACUGCUGUGAAGUGCCAAGGACUGCCUACCUGGACUCAUACUUCUCACUGCAAAAAGACCCCUAAACCUCGGGAGGACUCUCCGACUGAUGAUCAGCCUAUUCCUCCUUCUAACUCUGCUGUGCCUUCUGGACAGCAGGGUAAAGGAAAAAAAAGACAAGGUGAAGUGCUAGUAACCUCUCCCUUGUCCACUGACAGACCUACUGUGCCUUUGGAUUUUUUUCUAAAAGAAGCAAAACCCAUUACAGGGUAAUGUGCUAGUAACCUCUCCCCUGUAUGAUGCUGAACCACACUGUUUCAGAAAAAGAGAAGAAAAAACACUCGCUCCAUUGAAACCACCAAAGUCCAGGAAUUCCUGACUACAAAAAAACAUUAAGAACUGACCCUGGUGAAGAAACAAAGAAUUAUACACUGGCAGGAAGAAACUUGUGGGACCCAUGCUUGGGAAUGUGGUUUUGAUUGAAUUUUGGGGUUUAUUCUACAGGCUGCGCCCUGUGUUUUGAAUAAGUCCUUCAGCAUGUAUUGCCCUCCCUAAUUGGAUUUUAAAUGCAAAAGGGGCUGUAUUAGAUUAGCACAACAGAGAGCUUUGGUUAUUUCCUCUAGAAAGAAGAGAGACUUGACCGGAUCCCUAUGGGAUAGGGCCAACAGUACAGCAGCAGUUUAAAAUAUUUUUAAGAACCAAAAACAUGAUAAAAAAUUAGGGCAACUAAAGAAGGCCACAAGCCUUAUUUGUGGAGCACAGCUAACCCAGGUACAGGCUGGAAUUGGUGAGUUACAUGUUAUCUCCACCCUUAGUUCUAUGACCAAGAAGUUGCUGCCAGAAAUGGUAUUGAAUAUCACUGAGGCUGGGAAGGCAUUGCAGUGGGAUCUAGCAUGUUCAGGCUUGGCCCACUGCCCUUACAGACACAUCAGGAGUACCAUCUGAUCUGUGGCCAUAAAGAAAUACUUGGAGACUUUCCUGGUGGAAGUGCGGACAUUCUCAAUGCUCCUUCCAAGCAUAUGGACUGGUUAGGGAGGUGUGGGCUCCCACAUACCGAAUCCUGCCGGGUCCAUGGGGAAGAUGCAUGUGGGAUUGGGUAAUUCACCGAGACAUCUGGGAAAUUAGACUAACGCCGAUGCCCUGGUGGACUUGGCAACCGCACAGAGAAAACUAAGGCAGAUGGUUCUCCAGAACCACUUGGCUCUAGAUAUUUUACUGGCCUCUCAGAGAGGAACAUGUGCAUUAAUUGGACAAGAAUGCUGUGUGUAUGUCCCAGACGUUUAUAAUGCCACUUGGGAAAGAGCAAACCACCUUAUGGAGGUAGCAAAGGACCACGGAAGGAAGCGAAUUGAAUCCUGGUGGAGUAACCUGUUCAAUUGGAUUCCAAAUAUAGGUGGUUGGCUCCAUAAUGUACUCCGAAGCGCCGUUGUAAUUAUAUGCAGCUUGCUGGCCUUGUAUGUUAUGAUAAAAGUUGGAUGGGCGCCAAGGUGUGUUCUAUCCAAAGGUAACAAACUCCCAAGUUUACCACUCACAGUAGUUAGUUGUCCCAGGAGUCCCUUCAAGGAACUCCAGGGACAAAGGGGGGACUGUUAGGUCCAAGGAAAAUGGAGUAUAGAACAGGUUGUUUGGCCAGCUUAGCCAAAGUUAGGCUAACUGUAGUUGCUGGGCCAUUCCUGUCUCUCUGUGAAACAUGAGGACAUGCUUGCUUGGGCUUCAAAGAAUGAGAUAAAGGGGGGGACCGUAUUCUUGUACCAAAUAUACUAGGAACAGUUUGUUUGGACAUAUGGAGACUUGCAGUCUCCACUCCCUGUUUCUGUUCUUAACUCCCUCCUUUCUCCUAGUUUCUGGUGCAUGACAACAAAGCUCAUAAGAAGUUGCUGAGGCAUCAUGAAUUGUUUGUAGUGUCAAAGAAGAUAGAUAUGCAUGAAUAUUAGAAGCUUUCUAACUAAUAAAGGGGGAUUGGAUUGCUUUAACUAUGACGCGACGGAACUGUCUAUAUAAUCUCACUAGUUAUUGUAAUCGUGGCUGGGUCUCUCUGGAGACGGGCCGCUCUCUAUUGUUGUGUGCACUCUUCAAUAAAGAGCUUGUAUUGGACCUUG